CUUAAACUGUUCAUGGUUUGUUCAUUGUGGAUUUCCAUGAGCCCUUGUUUGUUUCCCUUUAUGAGUAUGAGGUAGGUAUGGAUAAUUUUGUAUAUGUUGUGAUGUGGAGGUUUGUUCUUUGAAGCAUUUAGGUAGAGUUAGUAAUGACAGCUUGUUCAGUCUGUGGAAGCCAUGGAUGGACAGAUGGUUGCACCUUCUGGUGAUGUUUGCUUUACAUAUCUGUGGCCAGUGGUGCAUCAUAUUCUGGGUUUACUGGGGUAAUUUCGCAGGCUAUACUUUUGGGGACUUAGGAGUAUGCUGGCAUAUUGCAGGCAGAGGCAGCCUUAUAGGUACAUUAGAAGCAGUACUGUCUUAAGCCGGAGCUAUAGCCUAUAGGCAUAUAACACAUGCAAUGUCAGCCUCUAAACUCUUUACAGGUUUGAUAGUAGGAUUGUCUGAUAAAAAAGAAGGAAGCAGAACAAAAAAAAGAGAACAUUUUUACUGGUAUUGCUAUCUAAUCCUUGGUUCUUUUUCUUGAACUAAUGAAAUUGUCAUGUAUGUCAAUUAUGGAAAUGCAACUUUUUUGUGUUUUAGACAUGUAAAUUCCUAUUUAUUUUGGGUCAUUUCUCGAAAUUUCUAUACUUUUGGAAUGGGAUCUUAAAGUACGUUCUAGGAAACAUAAGGCAUUUGCUAGUGGCAAAUUACAAUAAUGAAGGUUCAAGAAAAUCUGAAAUCAACAUUGAGGGGUGAGUUAAAGACUCCGGUGAUACAAUUCUAUGAUAACAAUUUGUUUUGUACUCCAUAGUUCCGAAGAACUAGAGCAGGAUCUCUGUGAAGCCUUAAGAAAUAAAUUUACAUAAUGAACGGCCUCAAGUAGGAAUGCCUGUAUUUUCUUCUAAUGGAUCCAUGAAAAGCUGAUGAAUCUCAUACGAAGCUCCAGUGCAAAAUCAUAGCUGGGACACUUGAAGUCCUUAAACUAGAGAAAAUUAAUGUCACUCAUGAGUCAUGAGUCAUUCAAGGUGAAGUUCCGGAAGAUGUUUUUUGGAGUGCUUAAAAGGGCAAGUAUAUGGUUUGUAAACACAAGGCAACCUUUGGUAUCCCAAUUAAAGUAAGAGAAGUAAAAGAAAAUGAUGGUUGAACAGAGCUUCUUGAGCUACAAACCCCUGCAGAUGGCUUUCAUGCUUUACUGGAGAUCCAUGGCAUAUUAUGUUCUUUGAGGGCUUGAUUUGCCAGGUAGAAUAGAUUUAGUUUCAAGUCCCGCGGAGGAACCAUCAGUAUGGUUGAGUAAUCGAUGGAAGUUGGAAUCUAGACAAUCUAAAUCCCCAAGUGAAAGGUUGUGUACUUGUGUAUGGAAGAAGAACCUGAUCAGGGGCUAAGCUACGGUUUGCUCUGAAAUUGCUUCUAGUGGCAGGAAAGGCAGAGUGGCAAUCUCCUAGCAAUUAUUCCAAGUAGAGUCUAAAGGUAUUGUUUUACUUUCUCCAUUUUUUAAUUGCAUCACUUUCCUAUUUUGGAAGUUUGAAUUAUUUUCAACAUAUUUUUUUGUAGCUUUUACAUCUUCUUUGGCUUGUAUUUUUAUUUUCUCUCUUCAUCACAUAUCUUUCUAUUUUUAUCUUUAUCACAUAUCUCUAUAUUUUUAUCUUCAUCACAUGGCUCUUCUAAAACCUCAUGCCUCCUAUAAAUGUUGCAAAUAUUAAUAACAAAGUACAAAAUCACGAUCCUGUAAAGAAAAAAAGAGUAUAAAAUCACGAUUGAUCCAAGUGGAUACUCAAAAUCAAAGCAACAGUUCUUGGACCUCCACUUACCUAAUGUGGACACCUGAAGUUCGAGAUCAUUGAUUUUGAAAAAGGAUACAACUAACGCACCAGAUUUAUGGCCUUAUAUGAGUGACUCCCUAAUCGUAAUUAUUUUUGGUUGUGGUAAUGUACUUUGUCAUACAUGGUUAUGUAAAAUGGAAUACACGGAUUUUGAUAGUGCCAUAGCAAUGUGAUGAUGUAUGCCCAUGUUUAAAGAGGGAAUCAGGGAUACAAAGUAUACCACCUAUCUUGGACGGGUAUAACCAGGAUAAGCAUAUGGUUGCUAAUUUUUUUAGAGCGUUUUUAUGUCUUAUAUAUAGAUGCCAUGUAUGUUCUGCUGCCAUGAAUUUUGUCACUUUGUUAUUCAGAAGUUUAAAUUUGAGUAAUUGGGAACUGCAAUGAAAUUGAGUGUUAUCAGUUACCAGUAAUGUCAAGGAUUUAGGAUGAGUUUAAUUAUUUUAAAGUCACUGGAAAAUUUUCAAGUUUAGAAUGAUAUCUCAUAUACUCUUCAAAUUUAGGAUGAGUUUAAUUAUAUAAUAAGAACCAAGUCUACAAAUUAAAACCUUUGCUGACCAUUUGUGGUCUUACACAUAAUGAUACGUAGCUUUUUAUUUAUUCAAGAGUUAAUCUUAGGUUUUCCUUAUCAUUUGGGGUCUCGUUAUUAGGUGGUCUACUAGGUUCUUUUCAGUGAGGAUCUUUGGACUCUUGACGGGCCCUAGCAUGAAUUUAGCCUUUACAGGUUAUAGUGGGUUUCACCUUGGUAAAAAAUCCAGCAAGUUUCUUAACAGCUGUAGAGACUUACCUCGAGUUACCUCCGGGCUUCGGUACUUUCUAAUAUCCUUGGAGAAGGGUCUUACAAACAUACUUAUGGCCUUCUGUAAACAUAAUCUAUGUUGCAGUUCGUGAAUGCUUUGAUCUUUCACUCCUAUUGGAUAACUGGAGGUUUUCACUUUAGACUUUUUGAUAUUUUCUCGCCACCCCUAGAGAUUCUUGCAACAUAGCCUCUUGGAUUUUGCUGGUCAAUAUUAUCAUUGAGAUAACCAAGUGGUGAGUCUCUUCUAAAACUCAUGCCCAUUAAUCCCAUUAAAACUCUUGUUUCAUGUUUCUUCAUGAUCAAUAUCAAUCCUUGGAGAUUCUGAGAUGUUGCUUAGAAUAUGUGAAGUAUCCUUUCUAAAUUACCUUUGAAAAUUUGCAUGGUCGUCAUAAAGGGUUUCAUAGACACUUACUCUGGCGUUUGCCAAAGGCAAUUGACUUAGUAUUCCGUAUCAUCUAUGGCCCUUACUUCCACUGGUCGGCUCCCUCCUAUUUCCUUUCAUAUUAAGUGGCCUUGAGAUGUUUUUUUAUAAGUUGGUGACCGAUAUAAAUUACAGACAACAUGCGAAUUUAGAGGUAGUCAGGACAUCCAUUUGUUUUCUAUAUAGUUGUGCUACUGGUUGUUCAUAGACAUCCGUCAUAGUUAUUUUUGGUAUACUCAGUUUUGUAGGAUGAUGAUUCCUGAGGUCUAACUGUUUCUGCAUAGGAAGACUUGGAAAAAGAUGUGGUCAAUGGGUGUCCAGUGUCCUGUACAGACCUUCGACACUUAGGGCACUUGGGCUAUAUGUUGGCUAUUGCUAACAAUAACUGGGAUUGUUGAUGAGGGGUGGGGAUAAUGUUUAGGUAGAUUCCAUGUCACUUGGAAUUGGUUUUAAUUUCCUUUAUUUCUUUGAACUGGUUAAAAAUUUUCUCAACUUCUGUUGGUCCUUAUCUGAAAUGAUUUUAACUUGAACUAUGGUUGGAAGUUGAGCUUGGUAGCUCUUAUUACUUAUCGUUCUUUAUCUAUACUUAUUGGGCCUUAUCCAUAAUUUUAUUCUAAAUAUGAUGGCGUGAGUAUGUAUCUAGGUGUCAGAGUUACCAAUUCUCAAAAUUUUGGGACACAAGGACGUUAUCCUAAUUGUGGAUAUACUUGAGGGGCGUGAGAUUCAUGAUGUUCAAUUAUAUCUAAAUAUCAUAUAUUGAUUUGAUAAUACAGAAUUAAUUCAAUUUCCUCGAGCCUAUUUGCCUGCAGCGUAAAGUUACGCAAAAGUCACAAAGUGAAUAGACUGGCCACAAAAGACGAUAAGAAUAGAGGCCAUGAACUAAGAUGAGGAUGAAUUUGCAUUUGUUAAUGUUGCCAUAUGGCCCCUAUUCAUAUGUAUUUUAUUAAUGAUAUUAUUGGGUGGAGUAAAUUGUGACUGGUGAUUCAAGCCAAGCCAAAUCUUGGCAUGCUGGACUUCAGUUUGGUUUACUGUUGAAUCAUUUGUGUAUAUUGCCUUACAAUGGAAGCCCAACAAGUAGCUAGAACAAAGACACCCCAUGUGGCCUGUGGAAUGUGGAUGCCGCAACGGUCCGCAAGAAGCAGAUAUCAGUUUCCUCUAUCUACAAAUAUAUUGAACAUUAUUGGGAACGAAAUGCAUGGAUAUAUAUAAGGUUAUUUAAAAACACAGAGGUAGGUCUUGACCUUGGUGUUUUAUGUGUUCCACAUCACUGUGGGAUCAAGGCUUUAUUUCUUAUCUUUUCAUUCUUUUUCAGUUAUUAAUAUUAUCACUACAUCUUAUUCAUAUGGUAUUCGCUAUGAUAUUAUCCACGCUUAAUGUAAUUUUAUGAUUAUGUAUGUGCUUUCAAGAAAAGGGUAACUAGGUGACUUGUUUUGUAGGUUGGAAAAAAUGUAUUCUAAAAUCACGUUCCUAAUGUUGUUUUGAAUUGUUUGAACUAAAGGUUUUUUGCUGGAGUUUCUGGUGUCAGUCUUUGAAUUUUACCUUGUAAGUUAUCAUGAGAAAGCCAAUUUCUUCUUUUUCCUGUCUGAUGUUGAAUUCCAUAAUCUAUUUUUCACUCUGAGUUAUCUCUUUCGCAUAAAGUGUGGAACUGGCAGACCUGUGUAGGACUUGGAGCUGUUAUGAGUUAUGAGGUCCCGAUUUGUAGAGACAGUAGUAUUAAUUUGUUUAGUUAUAAAACUAGUAGUGAUAUCUGAUGUCAACUGCCAUCUUUUUACACUUUGGCCUUUUACUGAUUGGAAGGGUUGUAUGAGUGAGUUGGUAAACUGUAAACCUCCUUGGAAAACUUUGUUUUCUCAUGCUUAAUAACUUGUUUUCAUGAAUCUGAGUCUGUUAUCAUGGUAGCCAAUCGCCUAUUCAACAUGCUAUGAAAGUUGACUGGAUACAGCACAGGUUGUUUCUUAUCAGUAAUCAAUGUUGCCUGUAUUCUGUCAGUAAUCUCUAGCUGAUUCCAAGUGAACAUUUGUAUCCAUAAACUUGAAAGCAGUAAUGUCACAUGCUACAUAAUUCCUCUCUUUAUUCUACAUGGCUUGGCAUUUCCAAUUUCAUUAUUAAUAUGAGAUACAUUAUCAGAUGCUAUUGUAAUAGGGAAUGCUAGUGAACUCUAUUAUAGGGGCCACAGGUCUAUAAUAUUCUGGAUCUUACGUUGGAGUAGCCGAACAUUGGGAGUCAGGAACUCUAGGUUCUUGCUAUAUGUGUAUUGUAUAGCUUUGCAAUGUCAAGUUCUGAUUGUGGAUAGAGUCGAUAGACAUUUCAAAUAUAGCACGCUGCUUCGCUCUCCCCUCCAACAAAGAAAAAACAUAUUUCUUCCGCGCUGAAAUAAAUGAAAUGCUUCUCUCUUUUAUGUGAGAGCUAUUUGAGGAAGUAUGACUUUACUGUUCCAGAGUAGAACCUGUAGCCAACAACAAUUAUUUGUGGCUUAAUCAUUUAUUAUUUACAUGCUUGUCCCUCCCCUUUGUUUAUGAAUACAAUACUUUCUGGCUUAUCAUAGUUAUUAUCAAAUACUUUCCCCUUCCCCUUUUUUCUCCAUCACCAUCAACGCCUUUGAAAUCUUACUUCUUUAUCUGGGGUAUUUUCUACUUCUCUUUUAGUGCAGGACUCUUGGUCGAAAUGAUGAAGCAUUAUAAACAAAACCUUAAGUAUUCUGCUUGGACAAACUAAGGACACAGAAACUGGUGAGAUUAUGUUGUAUCUUUAAUGUUAUCUGAAGAAGUUAUGCAACUUUUGUUCUGGAUAUAUGCAAAUCCCUCAUUAUGGAUCAUCUCUUGUGGUUUCUAUUUUCCUAAAAUGGGGAAUUAUUGAUAUCUAAGAAGCACAAAUAUAUGGUUAUCUUGAGGAUUUUCCGAAACAAUACAUCAUCUGCUGCGUUUUUUAUGGUCUGAAGUGCUGUGUUUUCUGGAACCAGCACUUGCGUACCACCAUUUCACAAAUUAGAAGUGCUAUGUUUUCAUGCGCAGCACUUGAUCCAACAUGUAAGCCUUGUAGUUCAAGUGUAUCAAGGUCCAAGGGUUCUAGGAAAACCUGUAGUUCAAGUGUAUAUAUCAGUAUAUCUAGUCAUAAAAAGUCUUUUGUGUAUCUUUUCAACUGGGGGGAACUGGAGAUCUUUUUCAUAAGAUCUACCUUCUGAUGGAUCCAAGGGAGAGCUGGUGAUACUGAUACAUCAUGCCUGUAGUCUGUACUCUGUAGACAACCCUGCAUUCCAGAAUAAAGGAACUAGAGUGGGAUCGUGUAUUUUAAUGGCUCAAAGAACUGAAUGGUGAUGCUAUGUUUAAUGUUUCAUUAAGCAAUCUUCAGGCCAAGUUUGAGGAAUUCGGUGAAAUGAUUGAGGUCACUACACCAAAGGCUAUGAAUGUUUAGGUAAAGUAGAUCUGAUGGUGUUUUUUUUCAGAAAGCUGCCUCAUGAGAGCUUUUGUCUCAAGGACCUAGUUGUUUGAUACUUGAGUUUCUAGUCUGAGCUUUAGAUUUUUUGGGCCUUUAUGCCAUUUGGUUAAGAAUGGAUUCAUAGAGUGUCCCAGCACUAUAAGUUAUAUUCGGCCUACUUUCUCCGAUGGUCUUGAUUGACAAAGUGGAAGGCUACUUUAGAAGUGCGGAACUAGUAGUGACACAGGGUUUCACAAGUAUGACUUGGCCAUUUCUGGAGACCAGCCAUUUCUUCUCAUAUCAUUUUUCCCCUGGUGAUCUUAUAGACUUUCCUUCAAUUCCUGAUGAGAUCUCAUUAUAUAUGUCAUAUGAACCUUAGUUAUAGCAAUUUUGGAGGAAAGUCAAACAGGAACUGCAUAUCUGUGAUAUCACCUAUAGUCCUAGUGGUCCGAUGGCUGGCCCCAAGAAUCUUCCUUCAGUUUCCUUUUAGAUUUGUUUUGGGUCCUGAAAAGGCCUCGUGGGGGUGAACUAUAUGACCUUAGAAACACGUUAGUGUCCUAAAGUGCUAACUGCUACGUUAAGUGUUAGGAAUCUGUGUUUAACAUUUAGGUAUUAAGUUUAUGUCUUUUAGACUCGAGCACUAGCAUCCAUAGGAAUGUGAAAUACAGAUUUGUUCCUGAAAUUCCAACUGCCUUAACCUUAUUACUUGAGACAUUCAACUUUCAUAAUUGAGCCAAGCCAUAUCUCAGCUUGCUUGAGUUCAGCUGUGUUUUUACGUAGUAAUACUUAUUAAUUGGUGUUCUUGAACUUACAAAUUCAAUUUAGUUUCUCUUCUCUAACUCAACCCUUCACAAACAGAAACAGCCAUGCCCCAGGUGGCCACUGGCAGAAGCAGAUACAGUUCUCAAUGGUGUACGAAGUUUAUUAGCCGAUUAUUAGGUAUGAAAUGCAUGCAUAGACAUAUAGUUCAUUUUAGAAAAGCAUAAAUACACAUGUUAUCCUUGCUAAACAGGUUCAUAACAGGGGGACCAUGUUUUGAUUGCUCAUGUUUUACUAUUACCAUGUUUUUAAGAGCAUUCACGUACAUGUAUAAGUGCUGUGGUGGAAACUUGUGCAAUGAACUUUCUGUAAAGCUUCUAUUGGAAUUUGUAGCUUAAUGAUUUCAUUUUAUGAUGCAGAAGUAACGUGCUGAACAAAGAAUGUCACUUCUAAGGGUAAUAUUGUUUUCCGUAGGUCGAAAUAUUCUUCUAUACUUUUUUUGCGUUGUCUAUGCCGAAAAUUUCUAUCUAAGAGCUGCUGCUUCCUGCUCUGGCCUCUGGGCGAUGACUAAAGCAUUCAACUUCCUGCACUUGAUAUUAUCACCUAGACUUCUGCAAUGAACUGGCACAGCUGUUUUAGAACUUGGGGUGCAGACUGCAGAGGUCCUAACAUAUUGAGAUGUGUCAGUAACAACUAACAAGCAUCUGAUGCCACGUUUAUCUGUGGCAAAAUUGUGCUGUGCUCCGUGUUACUGAUUUGAAUGAUGAAAAAAUUGGUAGGUCAACUGAGAAGCUUAUUCUUCAAUAAACUUGUUUUUUGAGUGUAGUGAGUAGUAACUUGUCGAAUUAGUAGAUACCACCUACGUGAAUGGGUCCAUAUGAACUAUGGGUGCCAAGAAGCGGUAAUCUAGAGUUUUUUAGCAAGCUUUUUUACCAAUAAACCUGAAAGAAGUUUAAUAGAAUUGUUUCUAAGAAGUUCAAUGUGAUACAUAUCAUUUCUUAACAUAUCCUCACUUGGUGAUAUUUUUUUUUUUAAGUUGGUAAGAUGAAGGGAUCCUACUGAACUGGCACCUCGCACAGGUACAAUCAGUCAGGUUUGCAGGUCAGACUCCUUUGAGAGAGGAGUAAUGGUAAGGGAAACCUUACCCCAAGGAGCCCCUAGUGGGUCCUCACUUGGUGAUAUGCACAGCUUGGCUUUUGCAAUUUUAUCAUUAGUAUCGUAUUAAUUGGUAAUGAGGUAGAUUAUAUUUGAUAAAAGACUACGCUAGUGCUAUUUACUUAAUGCAAUGAACUGUGGAUGAAGUUUGGUUGAUAUUAAUUUCACCAUUUUUAAAGCCUACAAUCAUCUAGCAUUACUGCACUUAUGCUUCUUGAGCUUAGAAAUAUUUUAGCAUUGUUUUGCAUGUAAUAGGAAUACUUCUAUAUCAUGUUUUUUUCUUUACUAGUAUUUUCUGUUUUUGUGUGUGUAUUGUGGGGGUUGUAAUUCCUAAUUUAUUGCAAUGAAUGAACUGCUAUCAAGAACAGGUAAGUCCUCUUUGCAUAACAUCGUCUAUACAUAAUAUAAGCAAACAGUUCUUCUCCUUCUUGGCUGUAUACAAGUUGGAUGCGUGUUUUAAAAUGCUUCUACAAAUUCUGUAUUCAGGUUUUCGAAGUCCGAAGUCGCAACUGCUUUUGCAGGCUCAUUGAUCAUUGAGAGACUUUGGAUUCAUCAGUCUGGAUAGCUCAUAGUAUAGCCUGUUCUCAUACAGCUCCAGACUUCCAGUUCAUUUUGCUCAUACUAACUACUAACUUCAUGGAAUUUCACCAUUUGAAUCAUGAAGUUGGUUUCAUUUUAAUUUUUCUCUCUUUGCACCAUUUGAUCGCUCAAUACUGUUGUCGUUCAUUUCUGGACUCAGGCAUCUCAAGACUCAAGACACUCGUAGAAGAGAGAAGUAGAAGUUUCAAUCCAAAUUAUUGUGCAACAACCUGGAUAUGUUAAAAUUUACGCAGGACUUGUUUUCCGUUGUUAUAUGUGAAUCUUCUUGUAUAAACUACGACUGGUAUAAACAACUUGUACUCAAGUUAACAAUGAAAUCUGUGUUUUAUAUUGGGUUUUCUUGCCUCCCACUGAA